ACGUAGGACGCAAGCGUUAUCCGGAAUUACUGGGCGUAAAGGGCGUGCAGGCGGUUUCCUAAGUCAGGCGUGAAAGCCACGGGCUAAACCUGGGGAGGACGUUUGAUACUGGGGGACUAGAGUGUGGUAGAGGGGUGUAGAAUUCCGGGUGUAGUGGUGAAAUGCGUAGAGAUCCGGAGGAACACCAGAGGCGAAGGCGACACCCUGGGCCGUACCUGACGCUAAGACGCGACAGCACGGGGAGCGAACGG
rnacentral:rRNA from 1 species